GACGAACGCUGGCGGCGUGCCUAAUACAUGCAAGUCGAGCGAACCAAUAGGAGCUUGCUCCUGUUGGUUAGCGGCGGACGGGUGAGUAACACGUGGGCAACCUGCCUGUAAGACUGGGAUAACACCGGGAAACCGGUGCUAAUACCGGAUAAUCUUUUUCCUCUCAUGAGGAAAAACUGAAAGUCGGUUUCGGCUGACACUUACAGAUGGGCCCGCGGCGCAUUAGCUAGUUGGUGGGGUAACGGCUCACCAAGGCGACGAUGCGUAGCCGACCUGAGAGGGUGAUCGGCCACACUGGGACUGAGACACGGCCCAGACUCCUACGGGAGGCAGCAGUAGGGAAUCUUCCACAAUGGACGAAAGUCUGAUGGAGCAACGCCGCGUGAGCGAUGAAGGCCUUCGGGUCGUAAAGCUCUGUUGUUAGGGAAGAACAAGUACCGGAGUAACUGCCGGUGCCUUGACGGUACCUAACCAGAAAGCCACGGCUAACUACGUGCCAGCCGCCGCAGUAA
rnacentral:rRNA from 1 species